rnacentral:rRNA from 1 species
AAGGCCCUUCGGGGUACUCGAGCGGCGAACGGGUGAGUAACACGUGAGUAAUCUGCCCCUGGCUUCGGGAUAGCCACCGGAAACGGUGAUUAAUACCGGAUAUGACCAACUGUCGCAUGGUGGUUGGUGGAAAGUUUUUCGGCCAGGGAUGUGCUCGCGGCCUAUCAGCUUGAUGGUGAGGUAAUGGCUCACCAUGGCUUCGACGGGUAGCCGGCCUGAGAGGGUGACCGGUCACACUGGGACUGAGACACGGCCCAGACUCCUACGGGAGGCAGCAGUGGGGAAUAUUGGACAAUGGGCGGAAGCCUGAUCCAGCAACGCCGCGUGAGGGAUGACGGCCUUCGGGUUGUAAACCUCUUUCAGUACCGACGAAGCGCAAGUGACGGUAGGUACAGAAGAAGCACCGGCCAACUACGUGCCAGCAGCCGCGGUAAUACGUAGGGUGCGAGCGUUGUCCGGAAUUAUUGGGCGUAAAGGGCUCGUAGGCGGUCUGUCGCGUCGGGAGUGAAAACGCCGUGCUUAACACGGCGCUUGCUUUCGAUACGGGCAGACUAGAGGCAUGCAGGGGAGAACGGAAUUCCUGGUGUAGCGGUGAAAUGCGCAGAUAUCAGGAGGAACACCGGUGGCGAAGGCGGUUCUCUGGGCAUGUCCUGACGCUGAGGAGCGAAAGUGUGGGGAGCGAACAGGAUUAGAUACCCUGGUAGUCCACACCGUAAACGUUGGGCGCUAGGUGU